rnacentral:lncRNA from 1 species
CUCUGCUAAGCCAUUCUGUGAAAUAUUUUGACGAUGCGAUGCAACAAAAGAUAGGGUCUAGGCUCCCUAAACAUAUUAGGAGACUCUCCAUCUCCUUCUUUAGUUUUCAGCAGUUGGUGAUCAACUUUAAUGAUAACAACAACACAAAACAAAUGAAAUGACAGCAGCAUUCAACACCAUGUGCCAGGUACUCUCAGAAACCACCUCUGGCCUGAAAAGGGGCCGACUGAAACAUAUACCUAUUUGAAGAUCCCUGGCACACAGAUACAGCAGAAGAAGCCCAAAUGUGUUAUCAAACCAUUGAGAGAAACAGAACUUUCCUCAAAGCCAAGAAACAGCUUUCAAAAGGAAGUUUCCC